CAGUCGCCGCGGGAAUACGAAGGGGGCUAGCGUUGCUCGGAAUCACUGGGCGUAAAGGGUGCGUAGGCGGGUCUUUAAGUCAGGGGUGAAAUCCUGGAGCUCAACUCCAGAACUGCCUUUGAUACUGAAGAUCUUGAGUUCGGGAGAGGUGAGUGGAACUGCGAGUGUAGAGGUGAAAUUCGUAGAUAUUCGCAAGUACACCAGUGGCGAAGGCGGCUCACUGGCCCGAUACUGACGCUGAGGCACGAAAGCGUGGGGAGCAAACAGGAUUAGAUACCCGAGUAGUCCCUGUCUCUUAUAC
rnacentral:rRNA from 1 species